rnacentral:rRNA from 1 species
GUCGAACGGAAGUCGUUGUAAUGAAAUGGAAUGGACAGAGAACUUGUUCGAAGAAAGUUGAAGUAGACUUACAACAAUGGCUUUAGUGGCGGACUGGUGAGUAACGCGUAAGGAACCUGCCUUUUAGAGGGGAAUAACAAUGAGAAAUCAUUGCUAAUACCGCAUAUGCCGAGAGAAUCACAUGGUACAAUCGGGAAAGGAGCAAUCCGCUAAAAGAUGGCCUUGCGUCUGAUUAGAUAGUUGGUGGGGUAACGGCCUACCAAGUCGACGAUCAGUAGCCGGACUGAGAGGUUGAACGGCCACAUUGGGACUGAGAUACGGCCCAGACUCCUACGGGAGGCAGCAGUCGGGAAUAUUGCGCAAUGGAGGAAACUCUGACGCAGUGACGCCGCGUAUAGGAAGAAGGUUUUCGGAUUGUAAACUAUUGUCGUUAGGGAAGAGAAAGGACAGUACCUAAGGAGGAAGCUCCGGCUAACUACGUGCCAGCAGCCGCGGUAAUACGUAGGGAGCGAGCGUUAUCCGGAAUUAUUGGGUGUAAAGGGUGCGUAGACGGGAAGAUAAGUUAGUUGUGAAAUCCCUCGGCUUAACUGAGGAACUGCAACUAAAACUGUUUUUCUUGAGUGCAGGAGAGGUAAGUGGAAUUCCUAGUGUAGCGGUGAA